UACGAAGGGGGCUAGCGUUGUUCGGAUUUACUGGGCGUAAAGCGCACGUAGGCGGAUUGUUAAGUCGGGGGUGAAAUCCUGGAGCUCAACUCCAGAAUUGCCUUCGAUACUGGCUUUCUAGAGGCUGGAAGAGGUUAGUGGAAUUCCCAGUGUAGAGGUGAAAUUCGUAGAUAUUGGGAAGAACACCAGUGGCGAAGGCGGCUAACUGGUCCAGACUCGUGACGCUGAGGUGCGAAAGCGUGGGGAGCAAACAGGG
rnacentral:rRNA from 1 species